rnacentral:RNase_P_RNA from 2 species
GCAGUCGGUCGGUCUGCCGCUUGCGCCCCGUGCGUAUAGAGGAAAGUCCGGGCAACGCAGAGCAUCCCACUUCCUAACAGAAAGCUGUCCGUGAGGGUAGAGUAACGCAGAAGAAAACAACCGCCGCAGCCUUCGGGCCACGGUAAGGGUGAGAAGGUGGGGUAAGAGCCCACCAGACUUGUGGCGACACAAGGGCUGUGCGUCUUGGGAGUUGUAAGGUCAUGUAAACCGGCGUUAUGAGAGUUGCUCGCUCCAGCCGGAGGGUAGACCGCUAAAGCCGGUAUGGUGACAUACGGCUUAGAUAAAUGGCAGACACCUUGAUAAAGGUACAGAACCCGGCUUACAGACCGACUGUUUUU